GACGGAAGGUGCAAGCGUUGCUCGGAAUCACUGGGCGUAAAGGGUGCGUAGGCGGCCGUGCAAGUCUGGCGUGAAAGCCCCGGGCUCAGCCCGGGAAGUGCGCUCGAAACUGCGCGGCUCGAGUGCCGGAGGGGAGAGUGGAAUUCCUGGUGUAGCGGUGAAAUGCGUAGAUAUCAGGAAGAACACCCGUGGCGAAAGCGGCUCUCUGGAACGGUACUGACGCUGAGACGCGAAAGCGUGGGGAGCGAACAGG
rnacentral:rRNA from 1 species